rnacentral:rRNA from 1 species
UACGAAGGGUGCAAGCGUUAAUCGGAAUUACUGGGCGUAAAGCGUGCGUAGGCGGUUUGUUAAGUCUGUUGUGAAAUCCCCGGGCUCAACCUGGGAAUGGCAAUGGAUACUGGCAAGCUAGAGUGUGUCAGAGGAUGGUGGAAUUCCCGGUGGCAGCGGUGAAAUGCGUAGAGAUCGGGAGGAACAUCAGUGGCGAAGGCGGCCAUCUGGGACAACACUGACGCUGAGGCACGAAAGCGUGG